GACGAACGCUGGCGGCGUGCCUAAUACAUGCAAGUCGAGCGAAGCGCCUGAUGGGUGAGUUACGCGUGGGUAACCUGCCCUUAAGUCUGGGAUACCAUUUGGAAACAGAUUCUAAUACCGGAUACUAAAGGAUGGACCUGGGUUGCAUUAGCUAGUUGGUAAGGUAACGGCUUACCAAGGCGAUGAUGCAUAGCCGAGUUGAGAGACUGAUCAGCCACAUUGGGACUGAGACACGGCCCAGACUCCUACGGGAGGCAGCAGUAGGGAAUAUUCGACAAUGGGCGCAAGCCUGAUGCAGCCAUGCCGCGUGUAUGAAGAAGGCCUUCGGGUUGUAAAGUACUUUCAGCGAGGAGGCGUUACUCGCAGAAGAAGCACCGGCUAACUCCGUGCCAGCAGCCGCGGUAAUAC
rnacentral:rRNA from 1 species